AAGUCCCACAACGAGCGCAACCCCUACUGCCAGUUGCUAACGGGUAAAGCCGGGCACUCUAGCGGGACUGCCGGUGUCAACCGGGAGGAAGGUGGGGAUGACGUCAAAUCAUCAUGGCCCUUACGUCCAGGGCUACACACGUGUUACAAUGGCCGGUACAAAGGGAAGCGACCCCGCGAGGGGGAGCGAAUCCCAAAAACCGGUU
rnacentral:rRNA from 1 species